AAAUGAACUAACAGUGGCGAUUACUGAAACAUUGUUGAACGGGAGAGAUUUGCUAUGUCUACUUGGAUCUCUGCCUCAUCUUUCGGCGCUUUCUCUUCAAUCUUCUCAUACGCUUCUUCUUCCACUGUUAAGAAUCAUUCAACAAAUGACAAAUGAAAACCAAUAAAAUACUACUAAUAUUGAAGGACGGCUUUCAUAAUAAUAAUAAUAAAAAAAGAUGGUAUUUACUCCGCUUAGUAUUUAUAUAUAUAUAUAUAUAUAAAAAUUACCUUGGCUCUCAUGGUGACUGGAUGACGAAAGGCUUACAGUCUCGUUUUCUUAGUUGCUCCAGAAACCCUAGCAGAGACAGAGGCGGCAACAAAACUCGUGACACUUUCUUUUACCUCAUUAUAUAAAAGCCCUAGGGGCCUUACGUGUUACCCGAUCCAAAUCCACCUUCAACAAUGUUAGAUUAGUUGGGCCAGAAAUUAGAUCACUUGUUUUGUAAGUGGCCCAAAUGAAGAAAAAAAUGAAAUACUACUAAAAACAUUAUUAUAUUCAAAUGAAGAUUUUGCUAACAAAUUUUGUGAGAAUAAAUUUGGCAAAUAAUCAUGUGGAAAUAAAGGC
rnacentral:lncRNA from 1 species